rnacentral:RNase_P_RNA from 1 species
GAAGGCCGGGCGGUCGCGGGAGAAAUCCUGAGGAAAGUCCGGGCACCGCAGAGCGGAGUGCUGGAUAACGUCCAGUGCCGGCGACGGCAGGAAAGCGCAGCAGAGAGCAGACCGCCGAUGGCCUUCGGGCACAGGCAAGGGUGAAACGGCGAGGUAAGAGCUCACCGCGCCCCCGGCGACGGGGGCGGCACGGCAAGCCCCACUCGGUGCAAGACCAAGCAGAGGGAGCGCAAGCGCGGGCGGCUCGUCCGUCAACCCUCGGGUAGGUCGCUGGAGGCGGACGGCAACGUCCGUCGGAGAGAGAUGAUCGCCACGGGCCUCCGGGCCCGACAGAACCCGGCUUACGGCCG